rnacentral:rRNA from 1 species
GAUGAACGCUGGCGGCGUGCCUAAUACAUGCAAGUCGAGCGAACAGACGAGGAGCUUGCUCCUCUGACGUUAGCGGCGGACGGGUGAGUAACACGUGGAUAACCUACCUAUAAGACUGGGAUAACUUCGGGAAACCGGAGCUAAUACCGGAUAAUAUAUUCAACCGCAUGGUUCCAUAGUGAAAGACGGUUUUGCUGUCACUUAUAGAUGUAUCCGCGCCGCAUUAGCUAGUUGGUAAGGUAACGGCUUACCACGGCAACGAUGCGUAGCCGACCUGAGAGGGUGAUCGGCCACACUGGGACUGAGACACGGGCCAGACUCCGACGGGAGGCAGCAGUAGGGAAUCUUCCGCAAUGGGCGAAAGCCUGACGGAGCAACGCGGCGUGAGUGAUGAAGGUCUUCGGAUCGUAAAACUCUGUUAUUAGGGAAGAACAAAUGUGUAAGUAACUAUGCACGUCUUGACGGUACCUAAUCAGAAAGCCACGGCUAACUACGUG